GCACCCCUCUCGGAUCACUUGCGCCGCAGCCGCCGCUGCGGCUGCAGCUGCGGACUUGGACCUCGAUGGACCCCGACGGACCUGGACAGACUCGGAAGGACCCGGAUGGAGCCGGAUGGACCUGGACGCUGAAGAAUCCUGCCUGCAGCUUCCUGCUUCAAUUUAGCAGCCCUUCCCCCAGCUUUCAACCAUGAAGUUCUUUCCAGUCCUGCUUCUCAUGACUAUCAUGGCCCAGCCACUGACAAUCCUAUUCUAGGAAGGAAUAUCUGGGACCAUAGCAGAAACGAAGGGUCUGAUAUGCCAGAGGUGGGGAGGAAGGGCCCAUGCCCUGGAAUGCUAUGUUUGUGAACACAAAGGGUACAACUGCUUCAAGACCAUGAGGUGCCCCGAUUAUGUCAACUACUGUAUGACCACCCGGACCUAUAUCACUCCAACCAGGGUAACAGUCAGCAAGUCCUGUGUCCCCACCUGCUUUGAGACCCUGUACGAUGGCUACACCAAGAAUGCUGCCACCACGUCCUGCUGCCAGUAUGACUACUGCAAUGGGGCUAGCCUUGGGGCCCAGGCCUCCUCAGCUCUGGCCCUCACCACAAUCCUCAGCACGCUCUGGGGGCUGCUGCCCCCCAGCCUCUGACCCAGGCUAACUGGACCCCUUCCCUUUUCCCAGAAGCCCCAGAUCAACUUGGCUCUGUGAGAGAUGAGGAGAACAUGGCGACUUCAUAACUGUCCCUGGCCCCUGCCCCACACAUCGAGCCCCUUCCAUGACCUCUUCCCAGGACCAUCUCUUCUGUCCCUAACCCCCAGCACUCAUGGGAUGUCAGAACCUCCCCAGGUGCUUUCAAAUCCAGAUCUUCCCACUUCUGUAAAGGGCCUGGGAGUCAAUCCUUCCCAUCCCUCCAGGGGAUGGGAGUGGUCCUUCUUUCUAGCUAAUCCAUAGGCUUCUUCUCUGCCUGUCUUUGGAGUCGGGGGAAUCUGUUGGAGCCCAAAGUUGGGAGGCAGAAGGAGAAGAGGCUCCUGGAUUCUUGGAUUUCCCUGUACCCUUCUUCAUGGACUAGUUUUAUUUUUACGCUGACCAUCUUGGAACUCUUCAUACUUCUGCUCCUUGACCCCAUCCACUUUUCAAAAUGUCUGACUUUGAACUUGAUUGACUAAUGUGGGACCUGACACCUGAAAUGUUUAUGGAUCUGCCAUCCACACCGGACUCCUUCUGCAGGGAUGAGUGUUGGGGGAAGACCAAUCUAGGGUGGGGUAUGGAGGGGGGGGAGGCACAAACACAGGGGUUGGACAAGUACGGUUUUUUGUUACCUGUUGAGUUCUGAUGGGGGUUUGGGGGUGGGGGGUGGAAGUAAUAGAGUGCUGCUGCUGGGGAGGGAGUGGGAGAUAUGGAGAACCUGUCAAAGGGGGAGAAUGCCCCCAUCCCCAGGAAGCCCCUGGUCUGAGAUGGAUUGUCAUAGUUAACCCCUUAUUUCAGUUGGCUCUUCCAGAGGAAUGGGAAGAGGUUGGGUCCACAUGAAGGUAAGGCCCUCCCAAAGACUGACGCAUACCACGGAAGGUUGAGAUGGAGGGUAGCUUUUCCUGAGCUGCCCCAGGAAGGUCCUCACAGACAGAUUUGCCGAACGUGAGAGCUGGAAGAUCCCUUAGAGACCAUCUAGUCCAAUCCUCUCAUUUUACAGAUAAGGAAGUUGAGGCACAGGGAGGAGAGGUGACUUGCUAAUGGUCACAAAGUAAGGUUGUGUGUAACACUGGGUCCCCAUGGGUUCCCACACAACUCUGGAUCCUCUUGUUACAUCUGUGGUCCCCUGUGCUAUUUUGAGUCACUUAUCCCCAAACCUCAAGCUUGAGCCCCCGCCAUUACAUUUCUAUGCCACACCAAAGAAAAUAUACAUGACCAUUCAAAUAUACAAACACACACACACACACUUCAUUACAGCAGAAUAGGAAGGUAAAUAACAGGGUAGAAAUGUUGUCUGUACUCAUGCACAAAAAGAUUGCCAUAUUCUGUGCUUUUAACCCCCCUUUCCUCCUCCCCCCAGCUAACCCACUUUCACUUCAAACCCAAGGAACCCCAGUGAACCUUUGGGUUUGAAGUCAUCCGCCUCUUGGGUUUCUUUCCUUCCAGUCCUCAGUGGGGCGAGAUAAGUAGAAUGAAUGUCUAAGGGCUGAACGAAAGCUGGUCUCCCACCACAACUCUGGAAUCGUCCGUCCCACAGUGGUCCGGCCAGGCUAUGUAGCCGCCUGUGUUCCCCACAGCUCUCACAGCCCCACUGUUUGCUUUUCCCAUCUGCUCAUUUCUGUAGCUCCUGAACUGCUAUGCUUCAGUACCUUCUGAUCUCUCAUCAUAUAGUAGCUACCUCCCUUUUCCAAGUCUGUGCCCCUACUCCCUAACCUCCGCCCCUCCACAUCUGUUCUGCCCUUCCAAGUCUGCACUGCCAGCUCCCUCCAUGUGGCUGCUUUCCCUUCCUAUUUUAAGUCUACCUGACACAGUUCCUCUUCAUCCAGAUUUUGCAACCAACUGCCCAUCUACAACGGUUGGAGAAAGGGGAUCCUACUUCCCCGAUUCUCCAAAAUUUCUGUCCUCCUGGUUGCCAGGGAGUUCAACAGUCUCCCCUGUGGGCAGCAGGCGGUUUUAGUGUGUUGCCUUAGCAGAGUCCCAAUGCCAACCCACAGCUUCUUCUGGUGCUUCUUGUGUGCCUCUGUGCAGGAACGCUCUUGUUCCCCUGGCCUGCAUCUGCCUGUUUCUGUAGCUGUGAUCUUCACAGUCCUGUGGCCAGCCCACCUGACAGCUCUCUGGCUUGCCAUGCUGCUGCCCCUCUCCCACAUAGCUGCUCCCACCUGGAAGCUCCUGUUCACCGCUCUCUGCCGCAUUUGCCUCUGUAAUGGGCUGGCCUAACUCCUGUGGGUGCAAGCCCACUUCUGCUGCUGUGGUUCCCGUCGGACAUCAGUCUGGCGGCCCAUAGUUUCCUGAUAAACCUGUGCUGAAUUCCUUCCUUCCGUGCACCCAGUAAGCAUGAGUCAAUGUUGGCCGAUGGAAAGGGAGAUGGAGGAAUACAGCCCAGAAGUGAAGGGGUGGGGGGGAGGGCCUCUUCAGAGGCCUUCCUUCUGGGCUGUUGCCAGGAUGGCUUGCCUUGACCUGUGGUCCUGAACCUCUUACAUCUACGAGAGAAGUGUUACCGAUCCACCACCUUCCACACUUUCUCUUUCUGAUGUUUAAGGGGACAGGGCCCAGGAAAGGCUUGGAGGGCUGAGGUUAGGAUCUUUGGGGUCUAAAAAAAAAAAAAAAA